UCCUUGUCCUCCAGGAGCUCA
rnacentral:miRNA from 1 species